rnacentral:rRNA from 1 species
GAUGAACGCUGGCGGCGUGCCUAAUACAUGCAAGUCGAGCGAACGGACGAGAAGCUUGCUUCUCUGAUGUUAGCGGCGGACGGGUGAGUAACACGUGGAUAACCUACCUAUAAGACUGGGAUAACUUCGGGAAACCGGAGCUUAUACCGGAUAAUAUUUUGAACCGCAUGGUUCAAAAGUGAAAGACGGUCUUGCUGGCACUUAUAGAUGGAUCUGAGCUUCAUUAGCUAGUUGGUAAGGUAAAGGCUUACCAAGGCGACUAUGCAUAGACGACGUGAGAGGCUGAUAGCCCACACUGGAGCUUAAACACGGUCCAGACUCCUGAGGGAGGCAGCAGUAGGGAAUCGUCCGCAAUGGGCGAAAGCCUGACGGAACAACGCCGCGUGAGUGAUGAAGAUCUUCGGAUCGUAAAACUCUGUUAUUAGUGAAGAACAUAUGUGUAAGUAACUGUGCACAUCUUGACGGUACCUAAUCAGAAAGCCACGGCUAACUACGUG